UACGUAGGGGGCAAGCGUUGUCCGGAUUUAUUGGGCGUAAAGAGCGUGUAGGCGGCCAGGUAGGUCUGCUGUGAAAACUCGAGGCUCAACCUCGAGACGCCGAUGGAAACCAUCUGACUAGAGUCCGGAAGAGGAGAGUGGAAUUCCCGGUGUAGCGGUGAAAUGCGCAGAUAUCGGGAAGAACACCCGUGGCGAAGGCGGCUCUCUGGGACGGUACUGACGCUGAGACGCGAAAGCGUGGGGGAGCGAACAGG
rnacentral:rRNA from 1 species